rnacentral:tRNA from 1 species
GGGGAUGUAGUUCAGUGGGUAGAGUGCUUGCUUUGCAUGCGCAAGGCCCUGGGUUCGAUUCCCAGAACCACCA